UCAAAAUGUUCCCCUUCCCUCACUCCUUCCCUUCCUCAUUUUUAUUUCAAUAUCUCACUGAAAGGAUUAGCAUUAACUGAUGUUGGGAUUAUGUCUUCCUGGGUUCUCUGUCUUAGUUGGUUAUUGCUAGGACCUUUCAUGAAGAGGACACUACGCUCUGAAAGCCCUAAUAUCUGCACCAAUGCAGAAAUAAGUCUGCUCUGUCAUUGAGCCUGUCAGGGGUUGAACUGAAGUUAGCCGAAUGAUCCCUGUCAAUAUUAAAGUGUGCUUUGUGGCUAAACACCCCCCUUCUCCCCGCAAUGAAAAUGUAUCCAUUAGCCACCUGUGUGCAUACACAAUCAGGCCCUCUGAAGCCAUUUUCAUAUUGCCCAUAGGAGGCAUGCAGGGCUAGAACAGUCAAAGGCUCAUUACCAAGUCCACAGUGAUGUACUGAGAUGCUGACUGUGACACAUUGAAUGAGUUGGGCAUCAGGAAGAUAAUUCUGGUCACCACAUUAUUAACAAUGGAUGUCACUCAUCCUAGACCCAUAUUUAUCUCUGUUCCACACAGGCUUGUGUAUUCUUACUGCUUCUUAUUGUAAUUUUACAUCAGAAUGUAAGCAGAAGCAAAUUAAAAAUGAUGGGAAACCAAUAAAACCUGGGGGAGGGGAACACAUCCUCACAUCUCCCAGUGGUGGCAUUUAUGCAAAAGAAACGCUAAUUUGCAACUGUGGUUAUGGAAAGCUGCACAUACUGUAUAUUAAAGAACUAUAGCUCAUCAGUUUCAGCUUCCUCCUUUAUAGCUCUAUGCUGUGGCCUUCAUUAUGUAACUUUGUUAAGCAUCCUAAAGGCCAGCAUUUCACAUCUGGGUCUUAGCAAGCUAUCAGAUAUGAGGCGGCGGCUGUCUACCUUGGAGAAAACAAGCUAGUUCAUGUAAAUCUCUUGGGGAUUAGUGAUGGAGUGGGGAACACAGAUUGAGGGCAGGGCAGUUUAAUAAAACCAAAUAUGCAACAGCAUGUUUUAAAGUGUGCCUGGGUGUGGCAGGGUAUUUUGAUUACAUGACACCAAUUCUUGGUCACAUCAGAUCUCUUACACUUUUGCAUCAACAUUUGCUGAAAUAGAGUGUUAAUUUUCUUACCACCUAAUUUGAGUUUCAUUAUGUGACAGAAAUAGCUUUUCUAUUCUGCUUUUCUUCUACUGAAGUGAUUGAAAAAAUUAGUUACUACUAUAACUUUCUUUUUUUAAAAAAGCUCCCUAUAUUCCACAUUUCUAUGGCAACAGAAUCUCAGAGGAAUGCUUCUUCCCUCCUGCCCCCUACAGCCCUAGGAAAGCAUGUAGCUCCAGGGAGGAGUUGGGACCCAGGCAGGGCCGGGCUCAGACUCUUCUAGGGCUAUCACUCAUUUUAAUGAGAGACCAGAAAGAGACAUCACCUUUUGUAGUGGUCCGGGCUUAAAUUCAGCCUGCAGGGCUGAAGCCCUGAGCCCCAAAAGGUGAAAAUCUUGACUGCUCCACUGCUUCAGUUUUUUUUUUAAUUUUCAAUCCAAAAUGAAUGAUAUUUAGCAAGAAAGUCCUAAAGGUGCCAAACAGCUUCAGAUUGUAUAACAAUUGAUAUUAACAUUUACUUUACCACUUUACGCAAUAUGUCACAGUUAUUCUCUCUUCGGCCGAAAUCAAAAUUUAAUAUACAGAUACAAAAUUACAACGUUUUUUGGAGAUAUGUUUUAUUAAAGAAUCAGAUAAUUCUCAGACAUCUGGCAGCACUGCAGACUGCUCCCACCCUUGUGCCAAGGUUAGGUGAGUAUGUACUCGCGUAGAUUAGUUAGAUUAGUAUGUGUUGAUACUUCUUUUGUAAGGGUUGAUCAACGAGACCCACUGAAUGCUGCGAUUACGGAAAAGUGUGACGCAAGAUGCAACAUUUAAGAUAUCACAAACAGAUCAUAACAAGAAACAUUUGGAUGCGAUAACAGCACAAGAAGAUUUGGCCAUGGCUUCAACAAAAAAGUCAAAUCUGCUCCCCAGGAUUGAUAGCCGAUUUACAGAAAAGGAUCUCAAUGAAUUUUGAAUUUGAAAAGCCCAAAUUUGGGCUUUUGGGAAAAGCAAAGAAGAAAUCGGCAAUGUGCAAGGUGGAAAAGGAAGUGAAUGGCAAGCUCAAACCAUAUAGCUUCAAGACAAGUGAAGCAAGUACCAUGAAAAGUUUCAACCUUUGGCAGCAUGUAAAACAUAACCAUCCUGAAAACUAUGCGGCUCUGGUUACAAAAAAGGACCAGGAAGAUGAGGCGAAACAGAAAGCUGACACGGCUAAAUGACGUUCAUCUGGCUCUUUGAAAACUCCUGGAGAAAAAUUUUUUUGCGGAGCUUCAUCUGAAAAGAAACCCAAAAUUGAGCAAACAAAACUUGACUCUAUUUGAAGUCCUCAAAGGUUACGGUCACCAUGGAUGCCAAUACUUUCCGUGAAGGGCUGAUGGAAAUGUUUUUUUUGAGUUCAACACUGCUCACUACCUUCAGGCUAAAGAACAAAGGAUUCCAAAAAAUUGCAGGUGAAAUGGGUUGGCAGCUUGGUGUUUCAACAGGGCACAAUGUGGUUUGUCAUUUAGUUGUCAGCACAGCUGAGUCUGGUCGCAAAGAGCUCAAGAAAGCUUUGGAGCAAAAAUUGUGCUGAAAAUGAACGCGGCAACCCGUGGAAACAGAAAUUUCCUUGCAAUCAAUCCUCAGUACUACGAAGAAGGAAAAGAUAAAGCUGUGGUAAAAACCUUGGACAUAAUCGACACUGAAGUGACACAAUUCUUCGUACGUGAAAAAUCAAGUAAACGCUAUUUUAGAAAAAUUUGGGAUCAGUGAAAUGCAAGUGCUGAGCAUCUGUGUUGACAAUGCAGCAAACAUGACGUGUGUCAUCAAAAAUUUCAGCGAGGACAAUGAAACCAUUUCUACCUCUGAGAACAGGGAUGUGGACAGAACUGAAGCUAUUUUGCCUGAUGAAGGAACUAAAGGAAUGGAUGAAAUUGAACUCAACAUGGAUACUGCUGCGCAAUGGGUUAAUGAUCCUAGCCUCAUACUUCCAACAUGGCUUCAUGAGGACGACUCAAAAGUCCAACUGAUGAGGUGUGGUAUUCACACUCUUCAGUUGGCAAUCUGGGAUGGACUGAACAAAGAAUAUGUGAAGAAAUUUCUGGUAAAAAUUCGACAAGUCGUUGUCAAACUAUGAACCCCAAGUAUUCAAAGUGUUCUGCUUGAUCUACAUGGGGUAACUCAAUCAUUGGAUACUGUGACUUUCUGGGGUUCAACAUUUGCGAUGAUUGAUCAACUUCUCGUUUUUCAAUCUGACUGAACAAGUGACUGUGAACAAGAGAACUCAAGUUAACAAAAGCUGAAUGAGACUAAGUGAAGAACCUGCAAGAUCUCUUGGCAAAGCCAAAUCAAACAACUGUGAAUCUUCAAGCUGUCAAUGUAACCCUGGGAGUUUUAAUGAAGGAAUGGCGAAAACUGUCAAAAUUCUUGCAAGAAAAUGGUGGACAAAUUGCAGAAGGAAUUCUAUCCUCCAUGCAGAAACGUGAAGAGAAGCUUUUUGACAAUAUUAAUUUCCUGGCUGGAGUUUAUGUUGACCCACAGUAUCAGAUUUUUCUUACCUCAAAGGAAAUACCAAAGGCAAAGGAAGGGCUCCUUGAUAUUGCUUGAUGACUCGAAAAACAAAAUCUAUUGCUACAUUUGAACUCGGUGAAAGAGGUUGAAGAAAAUGAAACAACAAAAGGAGUCAUCAAAAAUCAAAUAUGCGGUUUCAGAAAGUUCACAUACUUCAGAAAUAGCAGGGUGUUCUCAAACUUUCGUCUCCACUCUGAACUUGUUUGAGUGUCCAUCCCUGAGACGUCUUCAACCACCACAGGGAAAUGGAAAGAAAUCAAGCACCAAUUCUUCAGGAGAUGACGCCUUCGAAAAGGAAUUGGAUAAACAAGAAAGACACCGGCAAGUUUCUACGAUUCAUAAUUGUAAUGAAGCAUUAUUCGAGAGAAACUUUCGGGAAGAUUGUGAGGCAAUGGAGACUAUUGGUAGGCUAAAAGUUAAGUCUGUUUUUGAGGCCAUUCACAGCUACCCACCCUGCAUUCAGGCUGCCUGUAGAAUUGUUUCGAGCAUGCCAACAACUCAAGCUAGUGUAGAACGACUGUUUUCGGUUUUCAAGUUCGUUUUAAACGAUUUGCGGCAGGCUAUGAAAGAUGACUUGAUUGCUGCAAUAAUUUUUUACAGAAUUAAUCAUGAAUGAUUCUAGUUUGUAUAAUUGUUGCUGACAUUUAAAUUGUUUUAAAAGUCUGAAUAAAAAUAAUGUUUUUUCAAAAUUA